rnacentral:rRNA from 1 species
GGACCCGCACAAGUAGUGGAGCAUGUGGUUUAAUUCGAAGAUACGCGCAGAACCUUACCAACACUUGACAUGUUCGUCGCGGCUCUAAGAGAUUAGAGCUUUCGGUUCGGCCGGACGAAACACAGGUGCUGCAUGGCUGUCGUCAGCUCGUGUCGUGAGAUGUUGGGUUAAGUCCCGCAACGAGCGCAACCCUCACUUUUAGUUGCCAUCAUUUAGUUGGGCACUCUGAAAGAACUGCCAGUGAUAAGCUGGAGGAAGGUGGGGAUGACGUCAAGUCCUCAUGGCCCUUACGUGUUGGGCUACACACGUGCUACAAUGGCAUUUACAAUAGGAAGCAAGAUGGCGACGUCAAGCAAAUCCUAAAAAGAUGCCUCAGUUCGGAUUGUACUCUGCAACUCGAGUACAUGAAGCUGGAAUUACUAGUAA